rnacentral:lncRNA from 1 species
GAGGGCUGGGCGACAUAGCCACAUAGGCGAGAAGGCACCGAUAGCGACCGGCUUUUUGCUUUUCCUAUUCCCAAUGCCGAGCUCGUCACAGGCGACCCGUCGGGCCGCCCCAUCGAUGGAGAGGAUGAGGACCCAUUCUGGUGAUAGUGGAGGCCUUGAGAGGCAUCUCCGAUAAGGUUCCAGUGGGUUUGAGGAACGAGGGCUGGGUGACACAGACGAGGAAGCAUCGGCAGCGACCGGC